rnacentral:rRNA from 1 species
AGGACGAACGCUGGCGGCGUGCUUAACACAUGCAAGUCGAGCGGAAAGGCCCUUCGGGGUACUCGAGCGGCGAACGGGUGAGUAACACGUGAGCAACCUGCCCUUAGCUUCGGGAUAGCUCCGGGAAACCGGAAUUAAUACCGGAUAUGACUAUGGCCGACAUCAGCCAUGGUGGAAAGUUUUUCGGCUAGGGAUGGACUCGCGGCCUAUCAGCUAGUUGGUGAGGUAACGGCUCACCAAGGCGACGACGGGUAGCCGGCCUGAGAGGGCGACCGGCCACACUGGGACUGAGACACGGCCCAGACUCCUACGGGAGGCAGCAGUGGGGAAUAUUGCGCAAUGGGCGAAAGCCUGACGCAGCGACGCCGCGUGGGGGAUGAAUGCCUUCGGGUUGUAAACCCCUUUCAGCAGGGACGAAGCGAAGUGACGGUACCUGCAGAAGAAGCGCCGGCUAACUACGUGCCAGCCAGCCGC